rnacentral:tRNA from 1 species
AUUGGCUUGGCAGACUUAAUGCUGUUGACUUAGGAUCAGCCCAUAACACUUAGUGUUAGUCGGAG